GACGAACGCUGGCGGCGUGCUUAACACAUGCAAGUCGAACGGUGAACCUCUUCGGAGGGGAUCAGUGGCGAACGGGUGAGUAACACGUGGGCAACCUGCCCCCGGCUCUGGGAUAACUCCAAGACAUUGGGGAUAAUACCGGAUGAUCACCGCUUCCCGCAUGGGGGGUGGUGGAAAGGGUUUCCGGCUGGGGAUGGGCCCGCGGCCUAUCAGCUUGUUGGUGGGGUAGUGGCCUACGAAGGCGACGACGGGUAGGCGGCCGGAGAGCGUGACCAGCCACACGACGACUAAGACACGGCCCAGUAGCCAACGUUAGGCAGCGGUGGGAAGUAUUACGCAACAAGCCGGCGCCUGUCACGGCGACGUCGCGUGGGGAAUGACGUCCUUCGGGUUAAGAACAUCUUUCUGCAGGGACGAAGCGCAAGUGACGGUACCUGCAGAAGAAGCACCGGCCAACUACGUG
rnacentral:rRNA from 1 species